UUCGGUAUGAGUGUCCGGUGAACUGAAUGUCAGGUAAGACGUUAUGUAUAUUUAAGGUAGUGACUGGAAUAAGUCACAAGGUGUCGCUGUUGAGCUGCAUAUAUGUUGUAAAUUUUAGCAAUUUUGACCAUUUGUCCUCUGCAGGACACCGUAGUUCAGUUUUCUCGUUCGCGUGGGCGCCAUCUUGGUUCAGUGUUUACUGUGAUGUGCAAAGGUAAGCACUGUCAGUGGCGAACUGCAUUGGUUUUGUUUAAAAAUAAGUGUUCCACUGUGUAAAAUAGCGGUUUGUCAUUUAAGCCGAGCAUAUAUUUUGUUUAUUGAGAGGUUCAUGUAUUGUCUGAUGAGAGUAUGAGACAAAGAUAUACUUUUCUUUCUUACUCUCAUAUAAAAUAUUUAGCUUUUAUUAAAUAGUUAUCUGAAUCUUACAACCAAAGUUUGCAUAAUAAUACACAAGAUUGGCUGUAGACCAUUGUUAAUCAUUCAGAACACUGUGUAAAAAUAACAAAAAACAAAAAUGAAUGAAAAGUGCAUAAAUAUUUAUUUUAGGUGUUUGAUGUGUGUGGCAGGGCGUGGUCUGCAGUGCCGCUGCAGGGGAGGUGGACCCACCUCAGCGGCAUCUGCAAUCACGCCUCUCAGGUGUAAAGUCUGUGCUCUCUCUGCUUUUUUUUUUUUUUUUUUUUUUUGUGUAUGUGUCGGGCUGUGAGAUGAAAAGCUACAGCCGGCUGUGUGGGUACAGCAACUAUGUGUGAAAAGUGGUCCAUAACGUAAUGCUUCAAAGUGUGUUCAUGCAAACAUUGUUGGGUCUGCUUAUGAACCUCUGCGCACAGCGUCUACAAAUUGGGGCUGUACGAAGUCACCUCAUCUUUACACAAAACUGUAAGCUGUCAUCUGUGAGGCGCGAGCGGUGUUUGGUUUUACCAUAGUUCAUGGUGGAGAAUGGCUGCUCUGCUGAGUUUUGCUCUCUGUAGCUGUUUGAAUGGCAAACUAUACUGAUUAGCGGCGGCAUAGGCACACUUAAAAUUUC
ensembl:lncRNA